UACGUAGGGGGCAAGCGUUGUCCGGAAUCAUUGGGCGUAAAGCGCGUGUAGGCGGCCCGGUAAGUCCGCUGUGAAAGUCCAGGGCUCAACCCUGGAAAGCCGGUGGAUACUGUCGGGCUAGAGUCCGGAAGAGGCGAGUGGAAUUCCUGGUGUAGCGGUGAAAUGCGCAGAUAUCAGGAGGAACACCAAUGGCGAAGGCAGCUCACUGGGACGAUACUGACGCUGAGACGCGAAAGCGUGGGGAGCAAACAGG
rnacentral:rRNA from 1 species